rnacentral:rRNA from 1 species
AUUGAACGCUGGCGGCAGGCCUAACACAUGCAAGUCGAGCGGUAGCACAAGGGAGCUUGCUCCCUGGGUGACGAGCGGCGGACGGGUGAGUAAUGUCUGGGAAACUGCCUGAUGGAGGGGGAUAACUACUGGAAACGGUAGCUAAUACCGCAUAACGUCGCAAGACCAACGAGGGGGACCUUCGGGCCUCUUGCCAUCGGAUGUGCCCAGAUGGGAUUAGCUAGUAGGUGGGGUAAAGGCUCACCUAGGCGACGAUCCCUAGCUGGUCUGAGAGGAUGACCGGCCACACUGGAACUGGGGCACGGUCCAGACUCCUACGGGAGGCAGCAGUGGGGAAUAUUGCACAAUGGGCGCAAGCCUGAUGCAGCCAUGCCGCGUGUGUGAAGAAGGCCUUCGGGUUGUAAAGCACUUUCAGCGGGGAGGAAGGGAGCAGACUUAAUACGGCUGUUCAUUGACGUUACCCGCAGAAGAAGCACCGGCUAACUCCGUGCCAGCCGCCGCCGUAACAC